rnacentral:rRNA from 1 species
AACGUAGGAGACAAACGUUAUCCGGAGUUACUGGGCGUAAAGGGCGUGCAGGCGGUCGACUAAGUCUGGCGUGAAAGCUCGCGGCUAAACCGCGAGAGGUCGUUGGAUACUGGUUGACUAGAGGACGGUAGAGGCGUGUGGAAUUCCGGGUGUAGUGGUGAAAUGCGUAGAGAUCCGGAGGAACACCAGUGGCGAAGGCGACACGCUGGGCCGUACCUGACGCUAAGGAGCGAAAGCGUGGGGAGCGAACAGG